AUACGGAGGGUGCGAGCGUUAAUCGGAAUUACUGGGCGUAAAGCGCGCGUAGGCGGUUUGGUCAGUCGGAUGUGAAAGCCCUGGGCUCAACCUGGGAAUGGCAUUCGAUACUGCCUGACUAGAGUAUGGUAGAGGGAAGUGGAAUUUCCGGUGUAGCGGUGAAAUGCGUAGAUAUCGGAAGGAACACCAGUGGCGAAGGCGACUUCCUGGGCCAAUACUGACGCUGAGGUGCGAAAGCGUGGGGAGCAAACAGGAUUAGAAACCCCGGUAGUCC
rnacentral:rRNA from 1 species